GCCCCCAUCGUCUAGAGGCCUAGGACGCCACCCUUUCAAGGUGGAGACCACCGGUUCGAAUCCGGUUGGGGGCACCA
rnacentral:tRNA from 1 species